GGGCACUUGGCACAGUGGUAGCGCGCUUGCUUUGCAUUAAUUGAUAUGCUUGCACGAGGUCGAGGGUUCAAUCCCCUCAGUGUCCA